ensembl:lncRNA
GUUUACACAAGUUAGACAAACCUGUGGUUUAUUCAGGGCUCAGAUAUCUGUACCCGCCAGGAGAAAGAAACCACGCCUUUGUACAAAGUUUAAUUUGAGGAAUCACGGUGACAGGGGAUUGCAGUCGUGGGGAAGGACUGGCUGGAAAAACACUGAAAAUCCCAAGGAACACAAGAAAAGCAGCAUUUCACAGAAGAACUGAAAAUAUCAUGGAGAACAAAAAUAGCACGAGACGGGGCCUAGAACCGGGAAGAGGAGGCCAUAACCAGCAAAAGAAAGAAAACCACUCAUGUGUACUCAUUCACAAGCAUGGUUCUAAAAUCCUGCCGUCUCCCAGGCUUUUCCUUCAACUGAGAUGGAAUGAUGGCUUAGCAGUUAAAAGUACUGGCUGUUCCUCUAGAAGGUCCAGGUUCAAUUCCCAGCACCCACAUGGAUCUGACGCCCUCUUCCGGCCUGUCCUGACAUGCAGUAGGAACUGUAUGCAUUGAUGCACAGACAUACAGACAAAACACUCACACGCAUAAAAUAAAUAAAUUUCAAGAAAGACUGAAAAAAACCAUGUUUAUCAUUUAUGUGUGCACAUGACAGGACCCGCACAUGGAGGUCGGUGGGGUCCUCUCACAUUUCAGGACUGAACUCGGGUUACCAGGCUUGUGUGGCCAGCACCUUCACCAUCUUUGUGAUCUUCGAGGGAAGACCUUGGGGAUGUCUGCCCUGACAGCUCUGCUGUCCCUGGUUCCUUUGGCUCCAUCCUGCCACUGCCCGGCACCUGCUCCUUCUGUUGCCAGAGCUAGACCAAGAGCCUGUAAGUUGGGCUCACGUGGUCAGAUUCCCUUUGUGAUACACCUUUCUAAACCCAUCUUCACCCAGGUCACCAGGCUCCCUAGUAUGUAAGCCCAAGGACUUCAUCACCCCAAGGCACCCUCCCAUCUAACCAACUGUAGCUAGGGUUGCAGGAUUAGUUUACACAAAGCCCCAAGCUUUCCAGAGAAGGGACUAUUUGCUGCUGGCUCUUGGAGGUGGCCCAUGGGCACAGUAGAGGAUUUGAAAAUGUAUGGAUCAGUUUUCAGCUUCUAGUUCUCACCUCCAAGUGGCUUUAGAAAAUUCCCAUCCCAUACUCCACCUUCACCCAGCAAAUGAAGCCGCCCAAGUUGUUUCUUCUCAGCGAAGGAAAGCAGAUUACAUUAGAUGGUCAGAGAAUCGAGAGGGUUUAAACUCUAAAGUGGUGGUAGAAAUCCUAUAGAGAUCAUUUGCUAUUGAGAUUCCAGCCCGAGGCUGCUUCCUUUCUUCAGGAUUUAUGCUAUACCAAACUAGCUUAUACCAGACAGCCUCUUCUCUGUGGCUGGUGAGACUGCUAUUCCUAGGCCAAUUUUCAUUUAAGCAAUAACACAUCCAAAGGCGGGAGCAAGCAAGCAAGCAAGCAAGCAAGCAAGCAAGCAGAGCAGAGCACACAAUUCCCUGGAAAGCUGAGACAGGAGGAUUCUGAGUUUGGGGCCAGUCUGCAUUACAACGCAUUCCAAGCCAUUCAGAAAUAAGUAGAGAAAUUAUUUUACAAGAAAGGAAAAGGAUUACCUUCUUGCAUAGCCCCUUGUGGACCUAUUCUAGCCUUGGAAGCCCAGGGUGUUUUUCUUGCUUGGUUUAUAGAUUGUCAACCCCAGGUCAAGCACUUGGAAAGUGAGAGCCAGCACUUUGGCUCCAUCAUUC